UGAAAUAUUAGACAUUAUUUAAGAAAAUUAAAUACUAACCUUUAAUUACCUUCGAAAGGGUUUUGCAGAGACUCGUGCUGAUAACGUGUUAUAAAAUUUAAGCAUGCAAAUUAAAGGGAGCAAGAUGAAAAAUUAGAGAGUAUGAAAAUUGUUUUUUAUUUUCCGUUUCUUCUACGCUUCCUUUCAAGAUAAAGGCUAUUUAUAGCCACACUCAACCAAUGGGAGUAUAACAAGUGGAAAG
rnacentral:lncRNA from 1 species